CCCGCCGCUGAAGAGAUGAUCGCGCCGACCGUCUACGGCCAGGCGAUCAUCAUCCUGGUCUAUGUCCCGCUGCUCACCUUCAGCGGCGUUGAAGGUAAAAUGUUCGAGCCGAUGGCCUUGACGGUCAUCCUCGCGCUCGUUUCGGCUUUCGUGCUGUCACUCACGUUCGUUCCGGCGCUGAUCGCAAUCGCAGUCACCGGCAGGGUGAAGGAAUCCGACAACCUCGCCGUGCGCCGCCUCAAGUCCUG
rnacentral:misc_RNA from 1 species